GGAAUUUUGCGCAAUGGGCGAAAGCCUGACGCAGUAACGCCGUGUGGAGGAUGAAGGCCUUCGGGUUGUAAACUCCUGUCAGGGGGAACGACGAUUAUAAGGCGAAUAGCCUUAUGAGCCAGACGGUACCCCCAAAGGAAGCCCCGGCUAAUGCCGUGCCAGCAGCCGCGGUAAUACGGAAGGGGCCAGCGUUGUUCGGAAUCAUUGGGCGUAGAGGGCGCGUAGGCGGUCUCGUAUGUCUGCUGUGAAAGCGCACGGCUUAACCGUGAAGGGUCGGUGGAAACUGCGAGACUUGAGGCUGGGAGGGGCUGGUGGAAUUCCCCGUGUAGCGGUGAAAUGCGUAGAGAUGGGGGAGAACACUCGUGGCGAAGGCGGCCAGCUAGACCAGUUCUGACACUGAGGCGCGACAGCGUGGGGAGCAAAC
rnacentral:rRNA from 1 species